UUAAUAUUAUUAGUAAAAAUUCGUUUGUAGUUAUAUAAUUAAUUACAUAUAAAAUUCAUUAAAGGUGACAAUGACUUUAACUGCUUAAUUAUUAUAAAUAGUUUUAUAUCUUAUUUUAAAUUUUAUAACUGAAAAAUAUGUUUUAAGAUAACAACACAAUGUAAAAAUUAUCUUUUUGAAAAGAAAAUUAAUAUUAUAAAUAAAAAUUCGUUUUUGAUUAUAUAAAAUAUGUUUUAAGAUAACAACACAAUGUAAAAUUUAUCUUUUUGAAAAAAAAAUUAAUAUUAUAAAUAAAAAUUCGUUUUUGAUUAUAUAGUUAAUUAUAUACAAAUUCAUUAAGGGUAGUAUAGCUAUUAACCGCUUUAACUUUUAAUGUGAGAGCUCCGUUGCAAAAAUUUACUUCGCAAAUAAUAGUACAGAUUCAAGAGUCUAAGGUAAAUACCUUUUUGAAUACACAUCAAACACGGUUCUGAGAAAAAAAUAACUUCAUUUACUUAGUCCAAUAGUCUGUAAUUUUUUAAAAAGUUUGUUCUUUAUUGAUAUAGUUAAACUAAGCAAACCACUAAAUAGAAAGUAAAUACUAACUUUUUAAAAUUUUAUUAGUUAGAAAAUAAUAUAAUUUCUAAAAUGAAUAGUAAAAUAAAUAGUUUUUUUUUGUCACUGAGUAAAAUAAAUAGUUAAAAUUGUUGUAAAAAGUUAUAAAAGUCAAUGCUACUUUAAGUUAAAAAUAAAUUAAUAUUUUUAAAAAUUGUAUUAUUAAUUUAUUUACUCGCCCGCCCGUAGGGCGGGUUUACCCUAGUAUUAGUAAUUUUCAAUCAAUCUGUUGAAUGUUGAGUUGAAUAUAUAUACAUCUAGAUUUAUGGAAAGAAAAAAGAAAUAUAUUAUGCAGCUAUGAAUAAAAUACAUGUUUCCUAAUCCCUUAUAUACUAAAGCACAAGUCACCUAACAAAUCAGAAUUUGACAUGUGGAAAAUGUUUUAAGAAAAAAUUGAUUAAAAUAAAUUUCUCAUCAACCCCUAAUUUUCAGCAACUUUAUCCUAUUUUUUCUCAAAAUAUCACAUCCACGUUUAUAGUUAAAUGAUCAUGACUUCAAACUGUUUAUUUUGCCUAUAUAAACUCUGAUCUAAUGAUUUACUUUGUGCUUUCUUUUCCCUUAUUUUUAUCAAUCUCCAUUAUCCAUUUUCAUAUCUACGGUUAGGGUUCAUGAUCUUUUUUUUUGCAGCAAUUCAAAGCUUUUAUUAUUUAUCACAUGGAUUAAUAUCUAGAAAUCCAUUAUCGACAAGAUUUUAGAUCGAUACAGUGGAAUUAUGGCAAGAUACGUGUACAUUGAUUUUGAAGAGAUUCUAUUUUUGACUAUUACAAUAACUUAGAAACUUUCUCAAUCUAAUGAUUUACAGACUCUUGAAGCAAUAGUUUUGAGAGAUGUGAAGGAGCAUAAUAAAAAAAAAUUUCGUGGAAAGCCAUGACUACACUCACACGCAGCGAAUUUUCAGUCAGUCAAAGGGGACAAAUGGAAGCAUCAGGUUUUGGCAUGACAGAAAAGGUUUUACCUAUUUUUUACUCCUUAAUAUUGUUGCUUAAUUAAUGUUUCUUUUGUUGAAUCAAUUACUUUUCAGCAAUCACCACUUCAAUUGAGUUCGACCAUAAAACUACAACGGACGUAUCAUGGAGCUUUUUCUUUUCGGAAUACAAAGGUGAAUUUACUUUAAUUAAUAUUUAUUGUAGCUGGAAUUUAAUCAUUUAUUGCUGGACAAUUCAUUGUAGCUCAGUAAAAAUCAAAGAAAUGUUGUAAUUUUAAUUUUAUAAAUUCAACAAACUAUUAAAAUAAAUAUUACGGGUUAAUUAUGUUCAAAUGUUUGCUUUAUAAAAAUAUAUGUUAGGUAAAUUAACAUAAAAUGUCGGUGAUCUCUUAUUGAAUAAUAAAUAUUUAAACUACAAACAUGUAUCAUUUUAUAUUAAUAUGCUAAUUUUUUACCCCUUCAAUCUCUUUGUUUCCGUGCAGUUACUUCUAAAAUUAUGUGCCACUGUUCAUAUAAUAUUUUAAAGUAAUAUUUAUUUUAAUUACAAUUAUGUCAGCGAUCAAAUAAUUUUUAAAACAGCAAAUUAACCCAUGCAUAGCAUGGGGGUAACACUAGUAGUCCCUAAAUUAGAGGAAAUAUAUCAAGAACAAUAUCAAUUUCUUUUAGUAACUUUCAUUCCUUAUAUACUAAAGCGCAAGUCACCUGACGAAUCAGAUAUUGCCAUGUGGAAAAGUUUUAGAUACAAAUUUAAAAAACAAUUGAUAUGUGGAAAAGUUUUCAAAAACAAUAAAACAAAACAAUUGAAUUUUUCUCUCACACGCCAAGUUUUAUUAAAACUAAAUUUUCUUUUCUCCUACUUCUCUGCAAUGUAAAUCUUCAACUACCUAUAUAUUUCUAUUUGUUUUUAAAAAACUCACGUUAACUUAUAUUUUUUGAACUAUUUUAUUUUCUCCUACAUAAAUUAAUCUACUUUCUUCUUCUAUAUAUUGUAUCUGUGACACAAGUAUCGUAUCUUCAAAGGUAAGACUUUAAAUUUUGACAAUUUACGAUUAAGAAUUCAAGGUUAGUGUUUCUCUAAAUUGUGCUCAGGGCAAAGCUUUACAUAAAACAAAAAAUCAUUGCAUUCUUGCAUCGUGUCUACGGCACAUAAUAAAAAAAAAAGUAAGAGUUCCAUUGUUAUGGAUCUUAGUUUUCCUGCAACGAUAAUAUAUGUCACGUUUUUACGAAGAACUACUUUCACCCAUGUGCACCGUAAUCAAUUAUUAUUAAUACCUUUUCUACGCUUAUUAAUAUGAAUUUUGAUAUCAAUUUUUCUACGAGUUUUUGUCAAUUAUAUUUUAUAAAAUCUUAUAUAUAUUUGCUAUAAAUUAAUUUAAUAAUAAAAAGAGAAAAACAUGGAUAACUAUCCACGUUUUUAUCACACAAAGUAAUUUCCUAAUUAUUCUCAACUUACCACCAUCAUCACACGAUCAACCAUGAAGUUAGUUUACAUAUUAUUUUUUCUUGAACAAAGUUAGUUUAUAUAUUAUUUUCUUUCUCUUUUUUGCCAUCAAUUCAUCUCUCUUUUUUCACCAUCGUUUCAUCUCUCUCUCUUUUCACUAUCGUCAAUUCUAAAACCUCUGCUGCAGGUUUAUGUUUUGUUUUCUAUCAAUUUUCUUAGAAUAAUUAUUCUCUUCUUCUCUAAUAAAUAAUCCUUCUCUCUUUGUGCAGAACUCAGGUUGAAGAUGCCAUUCAAUUCAUCUAAAAAAAUGGAAAAUCAGAGUGCGCUCUCUCAGAUCUGGGACUACUAUCCCAAACAUAAACUUGAAGUUUUUCUCGGGAUGAAAGCUAUCCUAAUGGAUGAAAAGUGAAGAUGUCAAUUGAAUUUUCCCAGCUUAGUUCUUCAAAAAAACGAAUAUAAAUCAAAGCAUUGUCAACAACAGCUGAGGUAAUAAUAAGUUUUUACAGACUCUGUUAUAUAAAUGAUUUAAAAGUAGAUUAUUACUUUUUUUCUUUGACUAACAAAAAAGAGAUUAUUUACUUACAAAUCUGUUUUUUUUUUGCUCAAUAGCUUAUUCUUAGGAAGAAAAAAUAGACAACCGACGUGAUUAUUUUGAUAUUUUCUUUCAGAAAACUUUCAAUCUUUUUGAGUUGAAUUUUAUUCAGAGAGAAGUUUUGGUUAUUAUGUUUAUUAUAGGGCAAAAGAAAGGCUAGGUCAUCUGCUUACCACUUUACCACUGAAUAACGUGAAAAUGACAUAGGUAACUAGAUUAAUGUCAAUUGUUAAUAAAACUCUUUUAGUUAAUCAUAAUAACUAUUAUGCAAAUUAUCACUCUUUUGUCUUAUAUGUUGACGUCAUUUUACAUGUUAUAGUACUGUUAAUCAAUUUACUUUUUUUUUUUGAAAAAACUAUUAAUCGAUUUACAUUCAUGCACUUUUCUGUUAUAUAGUGCUAAGAUACAUGUGAUUUUCUUAAAUAUAUUUUUUUUGUUAUUAGAUUUGCAGAUUUAUCUGCAGAUGAAGAUAGUAGCAUUCAAAAGGAAAAUAGUUGUUUAAGACGGAUAAAUAUUAGAUUAACAAGAGGAAAGUAAUAAUCUAUCAAAUAAAAUGUGUUAAUUGUAUAACUAAUAAGAUUUUAAAGCUAUUUGGAUUAGUUUUUUAGUUUCUUUAGUUACGUGUAUCUUUUUGUUAUUAAAGUCAAUUAUUUUGUUUGUCAAUAUAUAAUUUCAAAAUAACAGUUAACUAAAAUUGAUUUAGUGCAUGUAACACUUUAGCCUUUGACUGCAUAUGUAAAUGUAAUUGUUUUCUCUUCUAAUAAAAAGCAUUUAUUUUAUUUUGCAACAUAUAUAGAAAGGAAUUAGUCACCCGCGCAUUUGCGCGGGCAAAUAUCUAGUAGAUAAUAAUUCAAAAUAGAAGUUAAAAUAUAAACAUUUACAAAAUAAUUAUUGAUAGAACUAAAAGAAAGACAAAAUUAUCAUUCAAGUUUUUAAAAUCUAAAAUCUACUUCAGAAAUUUUAAACCAUAAACCAAAAGAUCAAAAAUCUAUUUUUAAAAC